rnacentral:rRNA from 1 species
UAAGGAGGGAGCUAGCGUUAUUCGGAAUUACUGGGCGUAAAGCGCACGUAGGCGGCUUUGUAAGUAAGAGGUGAAAGCCCAGAGCUCAACUCUGGAAUUGCCUUUUAGACUGCAUCGCUUGAAUCAUGGAGAGGUCAGUGGAAUUCCGAGUGUAGAGGUGAAAUUCGUAGAUAUUCGGAAGAACACCAGUGGCGAAGGCGGCUGACUGGACAUGUAUUGACGCUGAGGUGCGAAAGCGUGGGGAGCAAACAGGAUUGAGAA